AGAGAGGCAAUUCAUUUGUGUGCAUGGGAUCCAAGUUUUCCAACAUCACUUUCAACCGUCUUUUGAAACACUAUAACUUUUGCAAUGUUUGCCAUUUUGCCCUGCAACCUAGCGCAUUGCAUUUGCAUUGUUUGUAAAUGCCUACAACAACCAUACCGUCAGCCAGACCUGGUGUUGAUGUGAUGGGUGGAGACGGAAGGAAGGGCCAAGUGAAGGGAUCUGACACUGGACUGCAUAAAUGUCUGUUACAAUGUUCUUUAAUUGAAGUUGAAAUGAAGAAGCUGACGUAAAAGGAAGGAAAUGGUACAUUACUAUUGCCGAAGUGAAGCAGGUUGUACUAACUUUGCAAGGACAGGAAAUAAAAGCAAGGUUCAUUGGUGGAAGAAUAUAUGACCAAGAGUUUGCUCUUCUGGAAAUUAAUAAAUGGUUUCAUUAGUAUCAAAAAGUUAAGACUGAUUUGGAACUCAGAGAGCUGCAAGUCCUAUUUUAUUUAUUUGACAGAGAUCACAACUAGGCAGAGAGGCAGGCAGAGAGAGAGAGGAGAAGCAGGCUCCCUGCUGAGCAGAGAGCCCAGUGCAGGGCUCUAUUCCAGGACCCUGAGACCAUGACCUGAGCGGAAGGCAGAGGCUUUAACCCACUGAGCCACCCAGGCGCCCCUCUAUUAUGCUUCUUGAAGACACGAAGACGAAGCAACUGUUCUGACUGAAUUUAUUAUUCCAUUUAGGCUAAACAAUUGGUUUUAUUUUCAUCUAAGUGACAGUUGGCUACUUGCUUUUACAUCACAUUUCACACAAAGCAUUUUUCCUUUAUGGGGAUUUAGUACUCCCAGGUGUGUCUGGUCUUCACUCUGAAAAGGAUAGGAAAAAGCAAAAGAAACAAAAAGCCCCCAGCAGAUACAGGCCUUGGAACACGUUCUUUGCUGUUUGUGCAAUGAUGCCCUUCGAAUAGUUUGACUUUCAUGUGUAUCCUCCAGAGUUAGGUACUUUAAUCUCGUACUUAUUUGGAGCAUAGGUCUUGGAAAUUUCUUUUUCGUAAAGGAGGGGAAAAAAAAAAAACCUAGAAGAAGGCUAUACAUCCAUGGAAUUUGAGAAAGAAAUGAAAACAGCUUCAUUUAAGUUUAUAUCUGCCAAAAUUAACAAUCUAAAAUUCCUUUUGUAAGAACACUUUCUAGAGAUUAUGCUGAGUGAAAUAAGUCAAGCAGAGAGAGUCGAUUAUCAUAUGGUUUCACUUAUUUGUGGAGCAUAACAAAUAGCAUGGAUGACAAGGGGAGAUGGAGAGGAGAAGGGAGUUGAGGGAAAUUGGAAGGGGAGGUGAACCAUGAGAGACUAUGGACUCUGAAAAACAAUCUGAGG